CAGUCGCCGCGGGAACACGUAGGUGGCAAGCGUUGUCCGGAAUUAUUGGGCGUAAAGGGCUCGCAGGCGGCUUCUUAAGUCUGAUGUGAAAGCCCCCGGCUCAACCGGGGAGGGUCAUUGGAAACUGGGAAACUUGAGUGCAGAAGAGGAGAGUGGAAUUCCACGUGUAGCGGUGAAAUGCGUAGAGAUGUGGAGGAACACCAGUGGCGAAGGCGACUCUCUGGUCUGUAACUGACGCUGAGGAGCGAAAGCGUGGGGGGCGAACAGGAUUAGAUACCCCAGUAGUCCCUGUCUCUUAUAA
rnacentral:rRNA from 1 species